rnacentral:lncRNA from 1 species
GUCCCUUUUAACACAGGAAAGCGAAUCAGAAGGAGUAAGGCCUGCAAUCUUCUAAAAGGAAAGGAAAGGAAAUUCUUCAUUUCUAAACGGUUCAUUGACCCAUGAUAAUAAAGCAGCCCUGCCAGAGGAUAAUUAUCUUUUUAAGUAUCAGAUGCCCUGUGGGUGAAGGCCUCCCUUCUCCUCUCUUGAAAAAUGAACUCAGAUUAAACAAAUGUCCCUUUUCCUAGCUUACUGUUGCUGUGAAUUUCUUGAUUAUGAGCAACAUUAAUCAGUUUCCCUGUCUUUCUUUCCCCCUCUCUUAUGGAAAUCAGGCUUGCCCAGCUGAGCUCAGUGCAUCUCCCCUGGGCGACAAAUCUUUGCUGUGAGAUUUACCUUCAAAUGUUUUCUUGGAUUCUGAAUAAUCAGUUUGAGGAAUCCUUGUCAUAAAUUGCUUACGCAUGGGGCAAAUCUGUUAGUUAUAGAUGAAUCUCAG